CCCUGUAUCGAAAGUGGCCAUGGUGUUGAUUUAAGUGGCCAGGUCAUUGAUAGUACAAGGAAAAGUGAAAUGAGAGCAUUUCCCGUGUUUGAUGGGUCCUCAAUCCCAACUGAACCCUGGUUCUCUCAGACA
ensembl:snoRNA SNORA71 Small nucleolar RNA SNORA71